GCGCCUAUCGCCUAAUGGAUAAGGCACCAGUCUUCGGAACUGGUUAUUGGUGGUUCGAGCCCACCUAGGCGCA
rnacentral:tRNA from 1 species